AAGUCAGUGCUGAUCAAGAAUUCUGAAAGCUUGGUCUUCAUCCAGACAGACAAACCCAUCUACAAGCCUGGACAGACAGUUCAGUUUCGGAUCGUCUCUCUGGACAAAGACUUCUACCCGCUGAAUGAGAAGUUUCCCUUUGUCUACGUUCAGGUGAGUGGAUAACUACAACAUUAUUUGCAGAAGAACGUGCAGGCACAGAGGUACCAGACCCCAGUAGUGGUGUUUUCAGGCUGAGGGGCAAGGGAAAGAUCACAGGCAUGUGACCUUUUCCCUUUGGUUAAAGGAAGGCUGAAUAGUCAGGCAUCAAAAUAACUUCCAACAAUGGUUCUUUGAUCACAGAAUGAGCUGUAAGAGAAAACUAAUUGAUCAUUACAAGCCAUGCUGUGAACAGAACUACACUUGGCUAGAGGUCAUCAAAAUGGCUUAUUGCUCUUCCCAGUCAGAACUGAGAGUUUCUGUCUGCCAAGUGUGGUUCAAAUUAGAGACCAGUGUUAAAUAAGCUAUCAAAACCAAAGAAACAAAAUUAGGUAAGUAGACAUUCCCUGUCUUCCCAAGCAUGUUCUUUUUGUUUGCUGUUUUUUUAAAUGGUUGAACUUCAGUGGCAGGCAAAAGUUAGAAAGGAAGAUGUUUGAAUGAUU